rnacentral:rRNA from 1 species
GUGGGGAAUAUUCCGCAAUGGACGAAAGUCUGACGGAGCAACGCCGCGUGAGUGAAGAAGGUUUUCGGAUCGUAAAGCUCUUUCGUUAGGGACGAACGUGCUCUUUGUGAAUAAUGAGGAGUAAUGACGGUACCUAAAUAAGAAGCCACGGCUAACUACGUGCCAGCAGCCGCGGUAAUACGUAGGUGGCAAGCGUUGUCCGGAAUUAUUGGGCGUAAAGCGCGCGCAGGCGGGAUAUCAAGUCUGUCUUAAAAGUGCGAGGCUCAACCUCGUGAGGGGACAGAAACUGGUAUUCUUGAGUGUCGGAGAGGAAAGUGGAAUUCCAAGUGUAGCGGUGAAAUGCGUAGAGAUUUGGAAGAACACCAGUGGCGAAGGCGACUUUCUGGACGAUGUCUGACGCUGAGGCGCGAAAGCUAGGGCAGCGAACGGGAUUAGAUACCCGAGUAGUCC